rnacentral:lncRNA from 1 species
UUGCCAGCCCAAUCCACUUGGAGUGGCCUUGAUCCGCCACAUAUUGUGACAUUUCCCCACACUUAUACCCUAAAACCAGAUGGACAUAAUAUUAUUCAGAGAAUUCCAGUAUAGCCAGAAGAGCAUAAACCUCAGAAUUCAGGCUUAGGUUUAUCUUUUCUCAGGAAUGUUUGAUAGAAUUCUUUUCCUUUUUCAUGUUUUUUCCCCCACCUGUUUUCUCAUUAGGAUUCCAUUCCUGGAAUCCUAAUGCAUAGAGCACUGUAGUAGUAAAUGAAUAAUUUUUAUGUUUCCUAUGAUACCUGUAUCACUCCAUUCUGUGUUAAAUUUCUUGUUAUAUUUGGAUGAUCUAUCCAUUUAGAAUGUGAGCUAUAUUUUAACUUUUUAUGUAACCUCGCUGCUUUUACCUUUAGCAAGGAUUUCAUAGUGAUUAUUAAACUGAGUGAGAUUGAGGCAACAGAUCAUACUAAUCCCAUCUACAAUCAGUAAUCUACAAGAGGAAUUAUGAUAGAUAAAACAAACAAAAAGCCAUGAAUAUGAAACCUUAGUAGCCUCAAGUGGUCCUCAGAAAAAUCUGACAGGCAGCCUUUCUGGGAUGCAGGGAAUAUAGCAAACCCUGAGAAUUCAGCCCAUUAUUAAUGUUGGCCAGGAACGACACACAGUAUGAAUAAGUAAAUACCAGAAUUCACAAAGCAAGAAUAUUCCUGUCUCUUUUGUAGGCACCUUAAAAUGAAAUUGUCUGACAAAGGGAAAGAAAGCAAUAACUAGAUUUCUUAAGAGGAUUGAGAGAGGGGUUGGUUGCUCUUCACUUAUAGAUUUUUGUUUCUGUGGCUAGCAAAACUGCUCAUCCUUCCCUUAGGUUUUUGACAAGUAUCCCAAAGUAUCUACUGGGGAUCCAUUGAUCUGUAAAUAAUCCAGCUUCUUCAAGAAUUACUGUAUUUGGAAGGCCCCUAAGGAGCACCGUCCUGUUUGAAGUAAAACAAACAAACAAAAAAAAAGAGGUAGAAGGAGGUCAGAGGGAGAGAAUAGUGGAAAUAGGGAGAAGGAAAAGUGUUUGGAUAGGGAGGGAGAUAUCUUGCAGCUAAGUAGCAAAUUGGCCAAUUGGUAAAGGAAGCUUUUCCUCAAAAAUCAAAUGGAAACCCUUGAUAAGUCUGCAUCCAGCCCUGUUGGCUGGCCUUCUGCAGCAGCUGAGUUGGGAGAUGGUGACAAUGCUGUGCAGAUCCUGGGUGGAGGAAAGGCAUUCCCGUGGUGUGUCCCAUGGGACCUUUUGCCUUUAAGCUGGAAGAUUUUCCUGAUGGGGCUGGUAGGGGAGGUGUUGUAGCACACACAGCCUGUUCAUUUGCUUUCUUUGUUCUGUGACAGGUAAGUCACUACUUCACCAAUAAAUUAGAAUACCUAGGAUGUUCUUUCCCUCUUCUUCAUUCUCUUAUUCACACCUGUUCCACAUCCCUAUUCCAUAUAAGUGUACGUAAACCCAUAUUUUCCACCUUACUGUUUAAGAAUCAGAUAUAAUAAUUAUAUAUAUAGUCUAUAACCAGAUUUUCUUUGUCUCUUUAUCUCCAGCUUUUCUUAGACUAAUGGCUACUUUUCCUCAUGAGACUUGGUGGUUUAAAUUUAGGGCCUCCUGAUAAAUCAAAAAUGUUUUCCCAUUCAGGAUAUUUGUGGGGGAAGAUGUGCCACCAGCCUAAAAGAAAUACCAGAGGUCAUUCCAAACAAUUUUUGGGCAGGGAUUCAUUACUGAAAUAAAUUAAAUAACUGACAGUUUCCCACAAUGGCUCAUUUAAAGAGAGCAGAAGGCACCUAAAAGUACAGUUUGCUAAAAAC